AUUCAGCUGACGAGUCCAAAACGGGACAAAACACGCGUUCUGGAU
rnacentral:hammerhead_ribozyme from 1 species